AUUUCCCCCCCCCCCUCCCUCCCCAUCUCCAUCCUUAUCAUUUACCUACCCUAAUGAUAUGUUCAGGCAUGUCUGUUCCCAGUACAUUUUUGGCUUCAUGCAAUGUUUAACAUAGUGGCCUAGUUGGUUGAGAGCUUCUGUUUGCAGUUUUAUUUCAUAGACUUAUGAAAUUACCUAACAUAAAAAUAUGUUGUUGUAAACUUGGUCCAAGGAAAAUCUCCCAAACAUAAUCUACAUAUAUAAAUACUUUGGCUGCUGUGCUUGAAUUGUGUACAUAAUUAGCAGACUUGUAACUUAUUUAGUAAACAUCUCUGCUAAAUAGGAUUAGUGAUCCUAUUAUUAAGAUUAGGUCAUUGUCAUGAUUGUAAUUGGAACUCAAAUUAGUUAUUUUUUUCCCCAACAUAACAUAGCUGUAUAGUUAGCUUAAGUUAAAUCAGCUGAAACCAAUAACUUGCAAAUGCAAAGUCAUGACAAAAAAGGUUCUAGCUAAUUACAUUACUUUCUAGUAUUGGGUGCGGGGGCUGAAUGCUUUGAAUACCAUAAAUCUUAAGCAAGUUUAGAGAUCAAUUGGUUGCAUGAAGCCAUUUUGUCUACUGGUUUCUGUGACCUGGGGUAAGGAUGAGAGAAAACAUGAACCUCUUCUGUACUCUAGCUUUUGGCUUCUCUCUUCUUCAGACUUUAAACAUGGUGCUGCUAUUGCUUGUUUUCAGAAUUACCCUUCAGAUGUUUUGUUUUAUUUCACUAUUGAUGCAUACAUUUUAGUCAUUUGAGUUGUUUUUUUUUAUAUAUAAAUUAUGAUUAUAUUUUUUUUUUGUCAAACUUUUCCCUAAACAGCAUCUUUGGCUUUUUUUUUUCCUCAAGGGAAAAAAAUAAAACUAUUCAUGUAUAUGAUCAA